CAUGCACUAGUGGGGUCCCUUGGCCAGGCCUGCGCCCUCUCGCAAUCCGGAACACCUUGGGGGAUAUCAGAGAGCCAGUUUCAACCUGAUCCUGCAGGCCAGGCCGAGGGACCCCACUAGUGCAUG
rnacentral:pre_miRNA from 1 species